GCGGAAGUGGCGAAAUUGGUAGACGCACCAGAUUUAGGUUCUGGCGCCGCAAGGUGUGAGAGUUCGAGUCUCUCCUUCCGCACCA
rnacentral:tRNA from 26 species